CCCCCCCCUUUUUUUUUGCUUCCAUGUACACAAUUUCACAACAUCAUAAAGAAACAAAUUCCGUAACUUGCUUAUUCACUCUCUUUGGCUCCCUUUCUCCAUCUCACUCCUUUCUUCUCACGCUCACCAUCCGACUCCAGCUUCUAGAACCCGGUCACAUGCAUGCUGCUGACUGAAUCCCCCUCCGGUGUUCUUUUCUCACAAUCACAACCCACAGGCCUGCGACUUCUCCUUGUGUAAACUGGAGUUAUAGUUGUCAUCAUGAUAUGCUGUUGUGUCAGUGUUGGCGGUGAGCAGUUUCUUGCUGGACGAGUCUUACAUUUCAUUGCCGUUUCCUUCAACUCAGUUUUUUUUUCUCCUCCUGGAAAAAUUACAAGCUUCUCUGUUUUUAAACACAAAGGGAAAUGUCAGCGGCUUUCCAGAAACAUUUGCGUUGGUUAUAAGCGUGCAAAUCUCCCUGACUCUGUGCGUGAUGGUGGAUGUUAACUGAAACAGGAAGUGGCCUGUCAGUCAUGUGCUCGCUACACCACUUUCUCCCAGCUGCUAGUCCAUAUGCACACACUCACACUAACAAGCCCCGAGAUGGAUGCACAGACACGGACAGCUGGUCUUCCUGUCUCUGGUGACCUUGGCUGGGCUCCGAGGCUCCUCAUGGGUUUGAACAUUUUUCUUCAGUGACAGCGGCUGGUACAACCCCAUCAGUGCUCCAUCAUCUUUAAACCGACGUUCUCUAAAUGGACCAACCAAUUUUCAGGUUCUUUUGGUUUUGUGCUUGCAAAGUGGUUCUAAGUGGAACAGGAUGGCGGUUAGCUGGUGCUGCUGUUUCCCAUCAAAGAUGAAGUCAUGGACACUGUUGAUAUUGGUGGAUGCUCCAUUUGUGUGUUUGUGUUAGAGAACGAGAACGAAGGAGGUGCACGGAUUCCCUGCAGACACUAACACUUGUCCUUAAAGAGCAAGUCACCCCCAAAUAAACCUUUUUUGCUGAUAAACUAAAUAAACGAGUGUCUAAUCGUGCUGCAGACACGCAUCGUAAAUAAUUUGGCGCUUCAGUGCAUCUUAUUUAAAAUUUAAAUAUUCUGCCUAAAAUUGGCAGUGUUGUGCCGUUGUCAGGUAAAAACUCUGCACUGUAUUUUAAUUUAAAUCUGCCACCGCUAUUGGCUAAGAAGUAUGCUAUGAUGUAAACUGGUACAUUAUGAUGUCACAAUGCUGUUGUGAGCCUGAGUGUGUGUGUGUUUGUUAGCGGCUCCGCCCUCUCGGUCUGCCAGGCAACAGCAUUUGUUGCAUUUUUCAAACAUGAAGUGGGAGUGGAGUUAGACUCUGGUAGGGGUUGACUUGCUCUUUAAACAUGGCCGGGUAUUUUCAGCCUGGGGAAACUUAUUGAGGAGCACAAAUGUACCUGUAGUAUCACCUUAGAUGACCAAAAUACACGAUUUCAACACAAAAUAAUGUCUUUGCUCACUCCCGAGUGUCAUCAAAAAACAUCUAAACAUGUUGGUUAAAAACAUUUUUUUACAUUGCAAUCAAGACUUAAUUAUUUCACAAUCUGCUGAGU